rnacentral:rRNA from 1 species
AUGUGUAUGUUGAGAUGGAUGUGUGGCCACACGAGGAAGGAUCGAGUCCGGAAUGAUGAUAUACGAGAUAGAGUUGGGGUAGCACCAAUUGAGGAGAAGCUUGUCCAACAUCGUUUGAGAUGGUUUGGGCAUAUUCAGCGCAGGCCUCCAGAUGCUCUAGUGCAUAGCGGACGGCUAAAGCAUGCGGAAAAUGUCAAGAGAGGGUGGGGUCGACCGAAUUUGACAUGGGAGGAGUCCGUUAAGAGAAACCUGAAGGAUUGGAGUAUCGACAAAGAGCUAGCUAUGGACAGGGGUGCGUGGAAGCUUGCUAUCCAUGUGCCAGAGCCAUGA